UAGAUUGAGCAACUGGUGGAGAUGACAGAUGGUGAAACGAACAACCCCUAUAUCUUCAUGAUAUUAAAUGGUCAACCUACUAACUGGGACUAUUUUCAUUUUGUUCUUAUCAUCAUUGACAUUUGUCGAUAAAAUAGAAAGUACACUAUACUAUUCUAUAAUAAGCUACACCAAAUUGGUACUUCUUAUCUAUAUAUAAAAUAGAAAGAUAUUUUCUAUUUAGUUAAAUAUACUACUGUGAAAAAUUCUACUUGAAUUAGACUUUAGUCAACAGACUGUAAUACAUUUAGUCAACGUCAUACACUGAAUUACCACUUCCAUGAUUCAAGAAACAUUAUAUAAGCAUCUGAACAAUCAUGUAAAAAUUAUGCAAACUUUAUCAAAAGGAAUUUACAAACUAUAAACUGGUAAGCAAGACAUGGCAGAAUUAAAAAUGACAAUAUUCAUCGUUUUCAUCCUUUGCUUCUCAGGCACAUUGUUGGUGAAUGUCUCUGGACAAGGCAAAGGACUAUCAUGCUUGAAAUCAAAUGACUGUGAGUUGCUGUGUUUUAUAGGAACAGGGAGAGGAGGUGGGGAGUGUGUGUUCGGAAAGUGCAGUUGUUUGGAGAAAAAAACCGAGACUAAGCUGGCCGGAUGCAAAACGGAUCAUGGUUGUCCUCCUUCUAGUGCAUGCCCUAAAAAUGACCAUUAUGUUUGUGUUCUUGGAGAAUGUGUUUGUUUACCAGCAUAAUUUGAUCAGUCAAAAUAAUACACCUCUCCUCCUACCAGAUAUAUGUAUCCUUAUGAUGAAUUUUUGUAUCCACCAUGUUGCUACCAUCACAAGUACUUUAAAUAAUAACAUUAGCAAGAUCACAAUUUCACAGUUAUGACCCAACAUGUUUAAAUCUAUAUUCCAAUCACAACUGUUUUUCG